rnacentral:rRNA from 1 species
UACGGGGGGGGCAAGCGUUGUUCGGAAUUACUGGGCGUAAAGGGCUCGUAGGCGGCCAACUAAGUCAGACGUGAAAUCCCUCGGCUUAACCGGGGAACUGCGUCUGAUACUGGAUGGCUUGAAUCCGGGAGAGGGAUGCGGAAUUCCAGGUGUAGCGGUGAAAUGCGUAGAUAUCUGGAGGAACACCGGUGGCGAAGGCGGGUCUCUGGACAGUUCCUGACGCUGAGGCACGAAGGCCAGGGGAGCAAACGGG